AAGUGUAGAAAUUAACUGAGAUUGGGGCGGUGAGUUGAGACAGCUGCCAGGAAGGAAUGCAUCACCAAAUUUGCUGAAUAAGUAGUGACCGAAAGAGAGACAAUAAAGAGAAAUUAUCUGCUAAGUCCAAGCGGUGGAAGGGAGAAAACCAGUAGGAAUUGGCUUCUAGAUUGUGCGGUACCUGUUAAGACAGCUGCCCAUUUAUUUGCUACGUGAGGUGAUGACCGAAUGAGAGGAGCUAAGAAAUUCAUUUGUGCACUAGUUGGGCGGUGACCGAGAGGGUUCCAUUCACUUCCCCUGUUCCCUAAAAUCGAGAAACAACAAGAAGGAAAAACAGAGACCUCUCUUACCUUCUCCAACCAUGAACACCAGCCAAGAAACAAGAGAAACUCCAGCUCAUUUAACCAAGGAAUCGAGAGAGGGAAACAAAAGAAAACCAGAAAUCUUGUUCCAGUCUAAACCGUGAAGAGACAAUAUAGUUGAACUCCACACAAGGAGUAAUACCUGACCGUGAUCCGUAAAGGCACUACAUCUUUGAUCGGGGAUGGAUUUGAUCAAGAGGUUUCUUAGCUUUACAUUGUUUUGGACUUGUAUUUGAGAGUGUAACCUUUUACUUAAGUAGACCUUACUUUUGA